rnacentral:rRNA from 1 species
UACGAGUGGUGCAAGCGUUAUUCGGAUUUAUUGGGCGUAAAGGGUGCGCAGACGGUCUGUUAAGUCACCUGUUAAAUUCUCUGGCCUAACCAGAGUCCUGCGGGUGAAACUGGCAAACUAGAGGGUGGAAGAGAGAAGUGGAAUUCUCGGAGUAGCGGUAAAAUGCGUAGAUCUCGAGAGGAACACCAAUGGCGAAGGCAGCUUCUUGGUCCAUUUCUGACGUUCAUGCACGAAAGCGUGGGGAGCAAAAGGG